ACUUACGGUCACCGACUACCCUGAGAACGCCCGGAUUCUCGUUUGAUCUCGUGAAGCUAAGCAGGGUUUUGGCCUGGUUAGUACUUGGAUGGGAGACACCGGGAUACCAGUGCUGUAAGCU
rnacentral:rRNA from 1 species